UAAUGCGCUGUAGGACGCAAGCUGCCAUAAAAAACAAAAACAAAAAGAAGAAGAAGAUUGUGGUUCGUAGUCGGAACGUUUUGGAUGGGACACCGAAGUGGCAUCUGUGAGGCAAUCGUAGAAGCCGAAAUUCUGCGGGGAUCAUGAGCACCAAACAGGUGACCUGUAGGUACUUCAUCCACGGCGUUUGCAGAGAGGGUAGCCGCUGUCUGUUCUCUCAUGACCUGAACAACAGCAAACCCUCCACAAUCUGCAAAUUCUACCAGAGAGGAGUGUGUGCCUAUGGAGACCGCUGCAGGUAUGACCACGUCAAACCGUCCAGAGGGGCAUCAGGAGGAGCUGUGGAGGAUCAGCCAGGAGCAGGAGGGGCUAGCAGCGGGGCUUCAGUCCGAGGCGUGAAGAAGACGCUUGUCCUUAGAGAUGGAGGUGUUAAUAGUGUAUUCGGAAGUCCAGCAGACAGUCUGGGAUCAGAGGUAGAAGCAUCAGCAUCAGCAGCUCCUCAGUCGUAUGUGGAUGCCAUCAGGACAGGCCUGGACACCUCAGCACAGGAACAAGCCUUUUCUGCAGUUGGCGGGGCCUUCCAGGACCUCCCUCAGCUGUGUCCAUACUCUGCGGCUGGAUACUGUUACUAUGAAGACAGCUGUACGUAUCUUCAUGGCGACCGGUGUGAUGUGUGUGGGUUGGAUGUGAUCCACCCCCACGACCCAGAGCAGAGGAGAGCACACGAGAAGAUGUGUUUGCUGGCCUUUGAAGCCGACAUGGAGAAGGCGUUUGCAGCUCAGAUCAGCCAGGACAAGGUGUGUUCGAUCUGUAUGGAGGUGGUGGUGCAGAAGGCGAACCCUUCGGACCGCAGGUUCGGGAUUCUGUCCUCCUGCUGUCACACCUUCUGUCUCGCCUGCAUCCGACAGUGGCGCUGCACUAGAAACUUCAGCAACAAGAUUAUUAAAUCAUGUCCCGAGUGUCGGGUCAUCUCAGAGUUUGUCAUCCCCUCGGUCUAUUGGGUGGAGGACCAGGACGACAAGGACCAUCUUAUCGAGCUGUUCAAGUCUGGAGUCAGAAAGAAGCCCUGUAAGUACUUUGACCAAGGUCGUGGUUCCUGCCCAUUUGGAGGGAAGUGUUUGUAUCUUCACGCAUUCCCAGACGGAACCCUAGCAGAACCCGACCGGCCACGGAAACAGAUGAGCUCUGAGGGGAACGUUCGGUUCAUGAACAAUGUCAGUCUGUGGGAUUUCAUCAAGGAGCGUGAGCACCAAGCGGCUCUGUCCCUGCCGUUACUCGAUGAAGACAUCACUGAGCUGAGAGAACUCUUCCUGCAGAUGUCAGGUCCGAGCCACGAGGAUCCGGACACCACAGCCUCUGCGGACCAGUAGAGACCCUACCAGACUCGGCCGAGUCCUCUGGUCUCUAUGGUAACUGGUGACAGGACGUCUGCACCUCAGCUAUGAGGCUCAUCAUCCUCCUCCUGUUGAGCCAAGCACAGCUUUGGUUCUACCUCCUGUCUGCAGGUGGUUUGAAGCCAGCUCCUCCUGUCUGGAAGCCCUGGAUACAAGUAACAGGAGCUUUUAUCCUUAGGCUUGAGCUGCUCAUGCCUGCUCUAACUGCUCUUUUAAAUUUGACUGUUUAACAACAAACUGCAUCACUGACCCACAGUCGUCUCCAGAACACAAUAAUGGCUGUGGGAGUUGAUAAAGGGAUUAUAGUGUUUGGUUCCUCAGACUCAUGGCUGGUUGUGUUUCACACGCAGCUCAGAGCCAGCUGGUCCACAUCCAUUCUGCUUCACAAUCGAUCCAGGUCAUUUCAGACCUGGAUGUUUCAGCGGAUGGGACAGGCACAUGUGGAUCAGAAGGAGUUGUUUUCCCUGCUGCUGCUGCUGCUGCUGCUGCUUGGAGCCUUUGGACAAACUGUUUUAUUCUGUUGUUGGACACACAACAACCUGCACAACAACCUGCUACAACCUGGAUCUUGGUGAACAGAAAUGUUCCUUGUGUCCGCUGCAGCCAGUUCUCCUGUUUAUUCCUGACCUGGACUGGUCUCUGUACUGGACCCAGGAUGAGAAGAGGGUCAUGAUCUUGUCCAGUUUAUCCUAACCCAGGCUGGUCUGGAUCCUCAUAAUUUCAGACGAACCUUUACAG